ensembl:lncRNA
UAGCACUUUAUCAAACUGUUGUCUGCUACAGAGUUACAAGUAUUAUACUAAUAAUAUAGCAUCCACCAUCUCCUGCUUGCAUAUUUCUGAAAACAUCUUAGUGGUGUGGCAGCCACUCAGCCUCUCUUUGCUGCCUCAUGUCCUCUCUGAUGAGGUCUAGCAGCUCAUCAUCUCCUUUCCUCUUUCUCCCUGUCGUAGGUGGCUGAGCUGCUUCGUCAUCGCUGUCCAGUGGGCUUCCCACUGACUCCCUCUCCUGAGCUUGGAUACUUGCAAUCCUAAAGGCAGAGGAAAUCAAAAAUGACAGCAGGCAAAUAAAAACAUCACAACAACUCUUAGUAACUGCACAUUUAUUAACUUGUGUUCUUGAGAAUUAUCUUCUUGAUAACACACAUACGUACUUUGUAUUCUUUAAAGUUAUCUCAUGUCUUCUGGCCUGCAAGGGGGUGACUUUCCCCUGCAGGCCCAUCCUCUCCAAAAUUGUCCUGAUCACACACAACAAAUAAGAGAAGAAAGGAAACCAUGGCAACUAUGUUAAUCCCUAAGCCCAAAGGUUUUCACAGCAGAACACCAGAGGAACACCGUCUGGACAUCACAGGUUCUGUACAGCAGCGGUCCGUGAGUCGUUUGGUACCGGGCCACGAGAGUUAAGGCUCCGGUGUGAAAUUGAUGGUUUUCAGGGUUUUAUCGUUAACUCGGUUUCCCUGAGUCUUUCCCUUGUUGUAGUUGUGUGUCUUAUUUUGAAAGAAAUAUUUACACGUUACCAUAGCGAGCAGAGAGCAUUAAGUGGCAGAGAGGAGGAUGUUACUGUCAAUAUUGGCACAUUUUCAGGAGGACGCUGCUAAUAAAGUUACAGUUACACAGUACAUUCACGUUUAUUAUUAUAUUUACAAAAUACCACAGUUUUUGUCUUGGUCGGAUCAUUUUAUGUGGUUGUAUUUAUCCGCGAUACCUUAAAGGCCGCUCCGUGUCUGACAUAAACCGGUCUGUGGCUCAAAACAGGUUGGGGGACCGCUGCUGUACGGCAUGAGGGUUAAUAGGACCGUACUCAUAUGAAUAUGAUGUGUAAAUUGAUUUAUUCUUGUGCAUCCACGCCACAGUGGCCCAAUUCUUCACCCCAGUGAAGAGGUGAUCGUUUUCUCCUCGUUUUAAUAAAUUAAGCCGUUUGGUCUUUGUUCCCCACAACAUAUCACCAAUUCGAAAAAAUCUAAAUUAGCUGUAUGUAAGCGGCAAUACAUGAAAAAUCGCGGGACCACCGAUACAAGCUGGUUUACGGUUAUUUAAAUUAAACCCCCCCCCCAAAAAACAUGUCUAUGCAGAUGCCCAAAGCUUAACACAACCGCUAUAACAAUUUAACUUUUGUACAACCAGAUUUUCAUAUACUUACAUUUGAAGGCGUUUUCCUCUCCUGCUUCGACCACCAUCGUUAUCAGAAACAAAUCUCCUCUAUGAACCGCAAUGAAUCCUGGGAUAUGGUAGGACACGAAGGAUAGAUCGGACCCAUCCUUAAAAUUCGGGGCAGAGUAGGACGCAUUUGUAGCCACAUUUUGGCUACGUUCACACUGCAGGCGAAAGCGCAUCAAAUCCGACUUUUCUGACCCUAUGCGACCCAUAUCCGAUCAUGGUAUGACAGUGUGAACGGCACAAAUCCGAUAUUUUCAAAUCCGAUCUGGGUCACUUUCGUAUGUGGUACUGAAUCCGAUACAUAUCCGAUGUUUUAGAAAGCGACUGCUGUUUGAACGGUCAUGUCGCAUUAAAUCCGUCUUUUACGUCACUGACACAAGACAGACGCCAAUUAUCAGCGCAGGAGAAGACAUUGCGAACGCUUCCUGGCCAUCCAGUGUAGAUGUUAGUGAAACUGUUGGGAAGACAACGUGAACAUUUUAUUUGUACUGUAUAAUCUGCAGAUUCUGAUAGAUAUCUGCAGAUUAUCCUUUGAAGCACCGCUCCUCUCUAAAACUGCAAUAAGGAUCAUUAUUAGGUUAUUUACAUUAUUAUGUAAAUAACAAAAGAACUUAAAGCAAAAAUUGGGAAACGUAAAGUCCGAAGUCUUUAUAUUAAGGGCCAUCAGUCAAACAAUACUGUUUGUUCGGAUUUGAUCAAAAAAUCGGAAUUGAGCAUUAAGACCUGCAGUGUGAAUGUAGCCUUUGAGUACUCUUUGAAUUCAGACAGCCUUCGUCGUGUCGCCGUGACGUCAUUGCCUCCAAAUAUGGCAUUGGCGCAUCCUUCCACUGAAUUGUGACCUGUUCCUGGACCGUUUCUUUAACAACUGUAAUAGAUUACAGGAAGUCUCUGGCAGUGUUGCUGAAUCUGCCCGAGCAAGAUCAGACGUGGAUGAGCUGCUGCAACUGAGACCUGCGGUUUGUCUUUUCUGGUUGGCGAGUGGAGAAUCACACAGGGUGGUCUGCAAAGAGAGCUUUAGGAUGCUUCCUCCCACUGUCCACUGCAUCCUCCAUCCACAGGGUUUGCAGGGCUCACUCAUGGCUGCCACAC